rnacentral:rRNA from 1 species
UCGCGCUCUAGGAUGGGUCCGCGGCCCAUCAGCUAGUUGGUAGGGUAACGGCCUACCAAGGCAACGACGGGUAGCUGGUCUGAGAGGAUGGCCAGCCACACUGGAACUGAGACACGGUCCAGACUCCGUACGGGAGGCAGCAGGUGGGAAUCUUGCGCAAUGGACGAAAGUCUGACGCAGCGACGCCGCGUGGGUGACGAAGGCCUUCGGGUUGUAAAGCCCUGUGGGGAGAGACGAACCGGCAUCUGGCUAACAUCCAGGUGCUCUGACGGUAUCUCCUUAGCAAGCAUCGGCUAACUCUGUGCCAGCAGCCGCGGUAAGACAGAGGAUGCAAACGUUGCUCGGAAUUACUGGGCGUAAAGCGCGCGCAGGCGGUCCCGUAAGUCGGGUGUGAAAGCCCCGGGCUCAACCCGGGAAGUGCACUCGAUACUGCGAGACUGGAGUACUGGAGAGGAGAGCGGAAUUCUCGGUGUAGAGGUG